UAGCUCUGUGGGAUUUAUCAAGUUGUUGUCAUCAAGAUCAGAUCUAGUAUUAAACUUUGCUCAUAAAUCUCAAACAUUUAAGGAUUUGUCACUCUAAUGUACAAUAUUUAUCUGCCGAAUGUAUCGCUCAAUCAAUAAUUAAGCAUUUAACAUGUCUCCAUCAGCAAAAGCUCGAUAAGAUUACCUGUUACAUUUACUCAAAAGUUUUAAACGAAAACAAUCUAAUCUCAAAUUUUAAAUACAUAUGAACAUAUUAAGAUGUUGUUGAAUGAAACUUAAAAAACAACAACAUUUAACCGAUAAUAAUUGCGUUAAAACUUGACGUGUGGAACAAAGAAUCAUCACUUUAAUGUUAUUGCUUGCUAUGUUCUUUAUUAUGUGUAGCUUAACAUGUAGUUGAUAUAGCUAAGACAAAUCAGCUGAAUCGAAACACGUCGAAUACGGAUGUCAAACUGGCGGAUUGCUAGUGUAUACUUGCUAGCUUUGUUAUCGCCGAAAUUCACUUGAAGUAUUUUAAACUAGCAACAACUGAUAUGAUAUCUUAAACGCAUUGAAAGCCUCAGCCCAUGUGGAAUUUUACCUCAAGUAUUCUGACGGCAGCCUCGGCGAGUAUGCUUUUCGUACCGUGUAUUAUGGCUUACUGCAAUCAUCGUCCAUUUUCCAGGGAACUGCAGUAUCCAGUAUUUUACAAAUACACAUAAACAUGCCGGACAAACAGAUAUGACGGACGGAUGGUAGAAUAAUAGUCUCCUCUGGUGAACCGGAAGGAGGAUAAACAUAAAAUACGGCAACUUAACUUUGUGACACUAAAUUUAUUUCAAAUACCGUUGGUCCAGUUACCAGAAAUUAAGAUGUUUGUAUAAUCGCUUCACCAUUCUACCUCUAACACGUGUUCUAACAAUAUUAAUGGAUAUACAUUUUUCUGUAUUUCAAUAGCUUGCGAUAAAAAAUUUAUGAAAACACAAACAUUCACGUCAUGUUUGCAAUCAUGCUCAAUUAAAUUCGAAAAGUCCA